rnacentral:rRNA from 1 species
UACAGAGGGGGCGAGCGUUGUUCGGAAUUACUGGGCGUAAAGGGCGCGUAGGCGGCCUCUUAAGUCGAACGUGAAAUCCCCGGGCUCAACCCGGGAACUGCGUCCGAUACUGGGGGGCUUGAAUCCGGGAGAGGGAUGUGGAAUUCCAGGUGUAGCGGUGAAAUGCGUAGAUAUCUGGAGGAACACCGGUGGCGAAGGCGGCGUUCUGGACUGCAACUGACACUGAAAAACGAAAGCCAGGGGAGCAAACGGG